rnacentral:misc_RNA from 1 species
GAUGAAGAACGCAGCGAAAUGCGAUAAGUAGUGUGAAUUGCAGAAUUCAGUGAAUCAUCGAAUCUUUGAACGCACAUUGCGCCCCUUGGUAUUCCAUGGGGCAUGCCUGUUCGAGCGUCAUUUGUACCUUCAAGCUCUGCUUGGUAUUGGGCACCGUCCUUUGCGGGCGCGCCUCAAAGACCUCGGCGGUGGCGUCUUGCCUCAAGCGUAGUAGAAUACACCUCGCUUCGGAGCGUAAGGCGUCGCCCGCCGGACGAACCUUCUGAACUUUUCUCAAGGUUGACCUCGGAUCAGGUAGGGAUACCCGCUGAACUUAAGCAUAUCAAUAAGCGGAGGA